AUAUCAGUUUGAAUAUAAUUAAUACAACAAAUUAACUUCAUUCUAACUUUGCAGCAAAACGAGUGAACCGGAGGAGGAAGAAGAGGAAAAGAAAGGAAGGAAGGAAGGAGUUAAUUCAAUUGUUUCUUUUUAGUGUUGUGUGGUGUGCGGAUGUCAACUUGUAUAUAAUAUUGCUAUCCACUUCAAACAGGUAAUGUGAUGAUUAACAGCCUUGACAUUAACUCUGCAGGAUAACAAGAGAAAAGCAGUUAGAGACUUCAGUGUUUGGAGACAAAAUCAAUUGGCUCAGUGGAAUAUGUGAAUCCAUAUUAACAUUGAAACAUAGAUGACGUGAUAACAAAACUGACUUAACAUUGCACUAUAACAAAUCAGACUUCUACUUUGCAGGAUGAUAAGGCAACAGCAGUUAACGAUAAGGGAGCAGCAGUUAAAGGUUCCAACGCUCUGUGACUCGGAAGAGAAGCAACUAAAGAUUCACAAGUGUUUCGAGACCUGAGUUAAUGCUUUGAAACUCCUGCUCCUCCCCCAUCCCUCUCACUUCCUGCCGAGACUCACCGACGCAUGGCCACACGGACACACGGACCUCCUUCCACUUCUCUGUUGAUGUUACGUCCUUGGUAAGCGUCCUCCUGGGCCGUGUGCAAUCCUUCCAAGCCUUCAGAAGUUCUCCUGGGGGUCUCCUGCAGUCCUCUUGAGCCUUCAGAAGUCCUCCUGGGACCUCUUGCAGUCCUGUCAAGCAUUCAUAAGUCCUCCUGGGGCCUCCUACAGUCCUUCCAACCCUUCAGAAAUCCUCCUGGGCCUUGUGCAGUCCUUACAAGUCUUCACAAGUCCACCUGGGACCUCUUGCAGUCCUUCCAAGCCUUCAGAAAUCCUCUUGGGGCCUCCUGCAGUCCACCUGAGUCUGCUGCUGUUUGUGUUACAAGGCAGCAAGGUGGUGGUGGUGGUGGUGGUUACGAUGUGAUACUGGAUGCAGGAAGGAAGAGAUGAUGAGUUUGAGAACACAAGAUGGCUCGAGGAGAGGAUGAAAUCAACACCAAGGAUUUUUUUUUUUUUUUUUCUUCCUGGUCUUGAACUGUUGUUGAAAGCGCAAAUAUACUGUGCGUCGGUAUUAUAGCAGCUAUUAUCGGCUGCUGGAUGAAUGUCACUGCUACCACCACCACCACCACCACCACGGCUACAACUGGAGUAGUUUGCCUUCAGAGCCAGUGCUUGCACUAAGUGGACCAUCUUCCUGCCUGCCUACCAAGGAUGUCCUCCUGUGUUCCCUGCUGAAUAUUAGGACAACAAGAGUCCACAGUGGCAUCAUAAAUGAAAGCCUAGAAAAUUGUGAAAAGUGGCCUAAAAACUGGCAAAAAGCUAUAUAUAUAUGAUAAAUUGAAGAGUGCAAGUAGGAGAAAAAAUACCUUAAAUUUGUUAAAUUUGUAAAAUGUUGUAAGCUUUAAAAUUUUUAUUGCUUAAUAAUAAUAAUAAUAAUGCCUUUAGUUAGGAACUAUAAAAAUUACUUUUAAGCUAAAAAUGCUUGAAUGGCCCUAAAAAACUGUACUUAGGAACUAUAAAAAUUACUUUUAAGCUAAAAAUGCUUGAAUGGCCCGAAUGGCCCUAAAAAACUGUACUAAGUCGAAAAUACUCAGAAGAGUCUCCGGAGACAAGGCAAAUGAAUAAAUAAUAUUGGAGCUAAAAUUAAAUGAAAGUCUCCCAAAGUCUAAAUAAACUUUUAUAUUCAUCAACAA